GAGUCAUUCGAGAUAGAGAGAGAAAGAGAAAGGGUUUGAAGGAGAGCGCAGAAGGAGAGCAUUUUCAAUUUGGGGAUCUGGGUUUUUGCAGAUCCCCAAAUCCAGCCAAAUAUAUGUCAAGUAUCCAAACUAUUUCUAUAUUGCGAUUGAAGUUGGUGAACCAAGAAACCGAAUCCGUUUCGAUCGUCUCCGGACAGUGGUGCGGUGCUUCAAACCCAGAAAGAUGGAAGUCUCCUGCUGUUCUUCUCUCUCUCUCUCUCUCUCUCUCUCUCUCUAAAGACUCGGUGUUGAAAUAUGGAAGAAAG